AAAAACCAAGAGAACAUGUGCUUUUCAUUGAACCUUUAACUACGUGGUUCAUCUGUACCAACGAAAGUUACGAAAAUAGAAGAUUUGUCCUUAGAUAUAAUGUACCCUGCCACCGAAGCGCUUCACAAAAAGACGAUUGUUUGGUUCAUUAAAAUCUUUAAACUGA